UACGUAGGCAGCGAGCGUUGUUCGGAAUUACUGGGCGUAAAGAGUGUGUAGGCGGUGUUCCAAGUUCGGUGUGAAAUCUCCCGGCUUAACUGGGAGGGUGCGCCGAAAACUGGAAUGCUCGAGCGUGGGAGAGGAAAGCGGAAUUCCUGGUGUAGCGGUGAAAUGCGUAGAUAUCAGGAGGAACACCAGCGGUGUAGACGGCUUUCUGGACCAUUGCUGACGCCGAGACACGAAAGCGUGGGUAGCAAACAGG
rnacentral:rRNA from 1 species